rnacentral:lncRNA from 1 species
CCGAUUGCUUAGGUGAAAUAAGUCUUUGUGGGUAAGGGACUCUCGGUUUAUAGACUACUUCACUUUGCAACUCGGGUUCCGGGUUUGGGUCACUCGACUCCUCACGGGCUUUUGAACUCUCGGGUUUGUCAUGAUUAAUGGUAGUGAAGGGUGGACUUGGAUUAGAAGUCGAAUCCCCUUUCUUACCAAGGUUCUCACCAACG